rnacentral:rRNA from 1 species
GUAGGGAAUCUUGCACAAUGGAGGAAACUCUGAUGCAGCGACGCCGCGUGAGUGAUGAAGGCUUUAGGGUUGUAAAGCUCUGUUCUCAGGGAAAAACACAAUGAUUGUACCUGAGGAGAAAGGACCGGCUAACUUCGUGCCAGCAGCCGCGGUAAGACGGGGGGUCCUAGCGUUGUUCGGAAUCAUUGGGCGUAAAGCGGGCGUAGGUGGCUAUGUAAGUCAGGAGUGAAAGCCCUGGGCUCAACCCAGGAAGUGCUUUUGAAACUGCGUAGCUUGAGUGUGGAAGAGGAUAGUGGAAUUCCUGGUGUAGUGGUGAAAUACGUAGAUAUCAGGAGGAACACCGGUGGCGAAGGCGGCUAUCUGGUCCAACACUGACACUGAGGCCCGAAAGCGUGGGGAUCAAACAGGAUUAGAAACCCGAGUAGUCC